UGUAGGCACACACGGCAUUUGGCACUCGAUUUGGAAAGAUGCCCAGCCCUGAGGCUCAUCUGGGCAAGAGCACAAGCAGGUGGAGCUGGGUGGAGGGGGGGGUGGAGGUUGCUGGGAGACCCUGGGCUCAGGCAGCUCUGCCUGUGGGCCCCGGGGAAAGAGGCAAGGCCAGGCCAGGGAUCCCGGGCCUCCUCCUUCCCCAGGAAUCCAGCUCCUCUCUCCAGCUCAUCUAUGCAAGCACCCAGAUGAAGGCACCUUCUGCACGAAUGGCAGCUUUGUCUCCAAGAUUCCGUCAGUGUGGGUGGUGGUGUCGGGAAGAGCUGUGAGCAAGCCAAGGCGGCUGUGAUGACAGAUGAGGCUGUGAGCACACGUGGGACGUUUUAAAAUACUCUCAGAGACGCCUCCAUGGUGGCGCCCAACUAGAAACCGGAGGGCAAGGACCUUGCUGAGGCAGCACAGAGUGGGCAGCCCUCAGGACGGAAGGCCAGGAGGGCACCCAAGGAAGACUAGACGCUGGCUGCCACGCUGGGAUGUGGACCAGCAAGGCCAAUGAUGCUGUUUUUCAAUGGAACUUGGAAAUCUGGAUUUUUACACACCAUCUUUGCAUUUGUGAAUGCUGGCAACUCACUGAAGAUAUUUUUCAAGCACUGUCUGGGCCCAGGCAACACGUGUCUGGGAGCUGCUGGUUUGACGUCUCCGAGCCAACAUCAGGAGGGGAAUCCAGAGCACUUGCCGGUAGAAGGGCAGCCCCUUCAAAGGGCCAGGCACUGAACCUCCCAGCAGCCAGACUCACUUCUUUGGGUCCACAAUGCCCCCUCCUCCCAGUGACACACUUGGCACCUUGGGGCGUACAAAGAUGGCUAAGAUCCAGUUCCCCCCUAAAGACUCUCACAGCCGAGGGAGGGCAGUGGUAAGAAACUCGCCAUCCAGAACACGCUCAGGAGAGCUGGGACGGGCGUGAAAACCACAGAGGACAUGGGAGCAGAGUGGAGGCUCCAACAACCCGCCUGGGGCUGAAGCAAGGCUUCGAGAUGGAAGUCACAGCCAGGGGAGUGUGAGAACCAGGCCCGGGGGGGGAAAGAACAGAAUCUGUGUGAAACAAAUGCAAGAAGUGUGGGCAAUCGGGUGUAUCAAGUACAGGGGCGACAUGGCCCAAGGAGAGGAUGGUGGGGGGUCACAGAAGCCACACGGAGACACGCAGACCUGAUUCUGAUUCAGGAGCAAAGAUGAGCCACUGAGGGGUUUUAAGUAGAAAAACGGGACAAUGAAUUCUGCAUUUUGGCAGGGAUAAAGUCAGACCUCCUCAUGGACGUGAUACUGUCCCUCCCAAAGUGGCCCUGACACUGACCCUGUGCCCCCUCUGCUCCCUCCACCAGGAUGCCCCUUCCUCCCAUGGCCGCUCCCCACCCACUCCUGCCAGCUGGAAGGCAGCGGACACUUCGUGGUUGGAUGGUGAAUGAACACACGAAGGAAGGAAUGAAGACCCACCUUUCUGUACCGAGCAGGAGGCACCCACCCCCCCCCAGGAGUCCCAGAGCACCAGUUCCCCUCCCUUAGGGCCCUGAUAGCACUGGCCUUGUCUCCUUUUCAGGACCAUAAAUUGUCCAAACAAACACCAGGCCUGGCACAGCUGGAUGGCCCCCAGCCCAGAGGGAAUGGACUUUUAUUAAAUUUCUUCUCCGCGCCAGGGACUUUAUGUGCCUUGAAUCAUCUCACAACAGAGUGGGGUAUGAGUCAUCAUCACAACACCUUGGAGGAAGAAGUAGGUGUCUGUGCACAAAGUGACUCACCCACGGCUGAGAAGACCAGGACGCGGAAGUCUGAGCCGCCAAAGAACAGGUGCACCUUCUACUGGCCCAGGUUACCUUGCAAGGCAGCUUUGCCACUUGCUUUCUGACAGCAUGAAAAAGAUGCCUUAAUGAGAGUAUUAAACAAAACAGUGUGGAGCGCCAGCAACUGGGUGCCCAGGAGCGCUUUCAGGAGAGGUCACUGGGGUUGAGUGGUGAUGGGUGAGGGAGGAUCACCAGGGGAAGAAAGGAGUGCCUUUGCGGAAGGCAAGGAAGAUUUGGAUGGGGCUUUGAGUGGCACGAAGAACUGGGAUAGCCAGUCAGACCUGGGCACUCCACAGCUACUUAGCAUCUUCGGUGUGCCGGGCACUGCGCUGGGUCCUGGGGCUGUGGCAGUGGACUUGCCCUCAGGAAGGGGACCUCUGGGGGGAGGCAGCCAAAGAACACAGCAAGGAAAUAAAUGAUAGGGUACAUGAGCCAGUGGUCAGUGCUGUGCAAAAAAAGCAGGGAAGGGAGAGAAGUGUUGGGAGGUCUCUCUGGGGAGGAGACACUCGCACAGGGACCCGAAGGAGGUGAGAGAAGGAUCUGAGUGCAGAUCUGCGGGAGGAGCGUCCAGACAUAGGGAGCAGCCAGAGAAGCUGGACUCACACCUGCCCACACAGGGGCCGUGGUGCAGGUGUAGAGGACCAAAGAGCAAGGAAGCUGUGCUGGGACUGAGUGAGGAGAGAGAGGACGUGAGGGCAGAAAGCUAACCCGGAAGGAGGGGGUGGCAUGUGGGCGUGGUGAGGACCUGCGUCUUACCCUGCUCACCACAGAGAAGGGACAAGAUGUGACUUAGGUUUUUAAUGGGAUCCCUGUGGCUAUGAGUGGGGGAAAGACGAAGGGGGGACCAGGGCAGGAACCGGAAGAUGUGACUGCCAUGACCCAGACCACAGGUGGCAGCACUCUGACCAGGGUAUUCCUAGUUUCUCAAAACUGGGACAGCCCAGAUGUCCAUCAACAGGGGAACGGAGGGCACCUGGGUGGCUCAGUUGUUAAGCAUCUGCCUUUGGCUCAGGUCA